rnacentral:rRNA from 1 species
CGAAAGAAAGAUUAAUACCCGAUGGCAUAGUUCUUCCGCAUGGUAGAACUAUUAAAGGAUUUCGGUCAUCGAUGGGGGAUGCGUUCCAUUAGGUUGUUGGCGGGGGUAACGGGCCCACCAAGCCUUCGAUGGAUAGGGGUUCUGAGAGGAAGGUCCCCCACAUUGGAACUGAGACACGGUCCAAACUCCUACGGGAGGCCAGCAUG